GAUCAUUGAACCUGAUCAAAACCACACGCGAACCUUUGGCCGUUAAGCUGUCCCCCAGGCCGCUGUGGGGCUCCGGAAGGAGCCUUGGUCUGGGUGUGGCAAAUCCAUUCUUGAUACACAACCAAACCCAAGUGUCACCUAAGUCGUUUUCGUUCGGGGCUGCGAGGGCUGCAAGGCCUUCCCCCCGGAGCAUAUAAAACUCUCAGCAAUGGAUAUCUUGGCUCUUGCAACGAUGAAGAACGCAGCAAAAUGCGAUACCUAAUGCGAAUUGCAGAAUUCCGUGAGACAUCGAUACUUUGAAUGCACAUUGCGCUCAAGGCUUCGGCCGAGAGCACGUCCGCCUCAGGGUCUUAGAGUAGUGAAAGCUCGGCAAGGUGCCUCAGACGGAGGCACCCAUGCCGGAUGUGGCAGGCUCGCUGCCUCGGCGCAGCGACUGCUUGCUAAAGAGCAUUAGGGGACCCUCGGACUCGAUGCGAGCAGGGCGGUGUCUCGGUAUUGGUGGGGCUUGUGCUCGUCGCAUGCCUUGCUGGGACAUCGGUUUGUUUUCUCGAGGAAGUAGGUUGGGGUCUCCCUUGGGCAGGAGAAGAGUGUAAGCGCUCGACCUGAGUUUGGACGAGGACACCCGCCGAACUUAAGCAUAUCAAUAAGCGGAGGAAAGGGCGAAUU
rnacentral:rRNA from 1 species